rnacentral:rRNA from 1 species
UACGUAGGGUGCAAGCGUUAAUCGGAAUUACUGGGCGUAAAGCGUGCGCAGGCGGCUUUGCAAGACAGAUGUGAAAUCCCCCGGGCUUAACCUGGGAAUGGCAUUUGGGGACUGCAAGGCUCGAGUGCGGCAGAGGAGACUGGAAUUCCUGGUGUAGCAGUGAAAUGCGUAGAUAUCAGGAGGAACACCGAUGGCGAAGGC